AGUUGUAAAUCAGGGCAACCUAAUUGAGCGUGCGCAACCCUAUUCCUCGUUCGGGAGAAUACGUUAGUUUAAUCAAAACAAAUAAAACAGUUUCUGAGGAUGGUUCAGUUCAGAUUAAAAGGGAGACUGCAUAGUUGGAGAAUGUAGAGAUGCCAAUAGGAUGUUAGAGCCGUUUUCGGCCGUCGUGCAUGGAUGUAACUGGACGAAGUAACGUUUCCUGCUGCUGUUUCCGGAAUGGUUGUUGCUGCUAUCCCGCGGAUUAUCCAGACUACAGGCGGCGGAAUUUUAGUACGAAUCUAUCAGUAUUUGCUGGGGAGCAAAUUUUUAACAGUGCUCGAGGGUCGUAGAAGGUCAACAGCUGGCCGUCAAUUAUAAGCCCAUGGAUGAAUUCUUGGAGCCGGCUCAUCGGACGACGUACUGAGCCUACAAAGCCAGAAUGACACACGCCGAGGAAUAAGGCUGAAGAAGAGGGUCACGUUGACUCUCUUGCUUAAUUCGUCAUCACUCAGGUGGAACUGUAGUCCUAAGAGCGACUGUUCCAUCGAAAUCUCCUGAGGCCACGUCCUCUGCGACACCUUUUCGAAGAUGGGCCACGUUCGCUUCCAGACGCUGGACAACAAGAAUACAUACGGAGAUUUCCUCAAGAAGGACCACAUCAUCGACAUGAGCAAGAAUCUGAGUCAGCCGGAGUAGGACCAGGUGGACAAGGUUCGCGUAGCGGACGAAAAGUGUAAGCAGGGACUGAUCAACUGCAGAGUACGUACGAGCAGCAGAUGUUGGACGGAUAACAGGACGUAAGUAAGCUUUGAA